rnacentral:lncRNA from 10 species
CGUCAGUCACCAGAGUCGUUAGAAUACAGAACACAUCAAGCCCACCUUCAGACCUACUGAAUGAGAACCUCAGGUGGUCUCCAAUGUACCUCACCUCCAUUUAGGAACCCCUGGAUCUCUGGGUGAUCACAGCACUGGGAGCUCCAUAUGACACUCUCCUCCACUGUCUCUCCAUUUAUCCAUCAUCUCCCAGUGAAGUGUUUCUUGAUUGACCAUAAACUCCUCAUCUGGUAACUCUUCUUGGUCCAGAUUUAAACCACAACCCUGGGAAUCAAGCCAGCAGAGGUCGGCGGGGACACAGCAGAGAACAAGACAGGCAACGUGCUGGCUCCUUCCUCCACUGUCACAAAGGGAACAACCAUUAAGAAGUAAGCCAAUAAAAAAGGUCAGAAAUGGCUGAACUCACUGGCAAUUUCAUACAGCUCAACCUGAUUCCAGUUCUACUGGUCUGUCAUUGUGACCAAGAGCAACAUCUUAAGAAUGCUGGGCCUGCAACCAUAAUGGUAUCUUCCAGGAAGGAGCCAGGGAGCACGUCUGCUGAACUAGGAACAGAAAUCCAACCCUCCAGGUAGCUGGUGGUGGAGGCAUAACAGGAGGGGUCUUACAUGGCCCUUUAACUCCCACAGCCCACAGGAAAUGAUUUCUCAGUUACUGCUUCCCUUCCACCACUUUCCUGGCUGCUGGGUUACUCAUGCUGUGCCAACACACAGCGAACUCCCCUUCUACGCCCCUGGCAACACCAGGUUACAUGCUCAGACGCGAUACAGUGGAGGAAGGACCUCAGCAACACUGCUUGCCUCCCUUGCUCUUGUUUCUCCUACUACCUCUAGCUUGCUUGGAAGGAGGGAAAUUCUUCAGGACAGGAGAAGGGGAUCUGCAAAAGAGGUGACUACAGUGUGCAACUAGUGUAUCUGUUCCAUAUAACUAGCUUCCCCGUCAGGUCCCUGUCUUAAUGAUUUUGGAGUUAAGUAAAAGGAAGACUGGUCAAUUUCCAAGCCUAAUUUAGCACUCAGACCAGAUUGGCACACAUUCUUAUUUUCCUACCCAUCCACAUUUUACUUAGGUGCAUAUGACAGUUCUGUAAUGGUGUGAAGGUUAUGCUAUAAUAUAUGCAUAAGAAUAUAUCACAAAAGUUUAUCUUUGGGCUGUGUAACCACAUCUAGCAUCCAGUGUUUGCCAUGCAUAUUUAGAUAUUCCACGAUGCUACUAUUACCACUUAAUUUCAAAAACCAUAAGCUGUCUAAUAAUUAAAUAAUACCUUGAUGCUAUUGUACACUUUGAUUUUCAUGUUGUAAUCCUUGAAGCACAGAGGAAAAGCAUUUGUUUUACUCCUCAGUCGCCUGGAG